rnacentral:rRNA from 1 species
AACCAGCACCUCGAGUGGUCAGGAGGUUUAUUGGGCCUAAAGCAUCCGUAGCCGGUUGCAUAAGUUUUCGGUUAAAUCUAUGCGCUUAACGUAUAGGCCGCCGAAAAUACUGUGCAGCUAGGGAGUGGGAGAGGUACACGGUACUCGAUAGGAAGGGGUAAAAUCCUUUGAUCUAUUGAUGACCACCUGUGGCGAAGGCGGUGUACCAGAACACGUUCGACGGUGAGGGAUGAAAGCUGGGGGAGCAAACCGGAUUAGAAACCCCAGUAGUCC